rnacentral:tmRNA from 1 species
GGGGACGCUACGGAUUCGACAGGGGUAGUUCGAGCUUGGGUGGCGAGUCGAGGGGAUCGGCCUCGUUAAAACGUCAACGCCUAUAACUGGCAAAACUAACAACAACUUAGCUUUCGCAGCUUAAUACUGCAUAGCUGUUCGCCCCUCCAUCGCCUAUGUGGUAGGGUAGCGGACUCACUCUAAGUAGGCUACGCCGGAGUCCACCGCCUGAGGACGAAGGAAGAGAACAACCAGGCUAGCUGGCCGGGCGCCUGUCGAUAGGCAGAUGGAUUUAGCGAAACGCGAAUAUGUCGACUACACUCGUAGAAGCUUAAGUGCCGAUAUCUUUGGACGUGGGUUCGACUCCCACCGUCUCCACCA